rnacentral:piRNA from 1 species
UCGUUAUCGGGGUUUCACAAA